ensembl:snoRNA SNORD14 Small nucleolar RNA SNORD14
UCGCUGUGAUGACAUUAUUUCCUGCCAUUCGUAGUUUCCACCAGAGGUCGGAAGACCAAAGAUGGUCCAAACCUUCCUUGGAUGUCUGAGCGA